GACAAAAAUCUCUGCAAGCUGUCUGGAGGUCGCUGGUCAAGGGAGUCAGGCUAUGGCCAAACCCCCGUGUUCCUCGGUCAGUGGGUGCAAGGGCACCACGAGCGGGUGAAGCCGAGCCCUGGCAUGGCAGCACAGCACACAGCACACGCAGCGCACAGAGUGCAUGCAGUGCAUGCAGCACACCCUGCCCUGUCACCACAGAGGGAACAGGCCUACAGCCCCAGUGAGCAGGCAUUACAGACACACUUUCACUGUAGGCUCAGGUGUGACGUGCUUAGGGGGAUGAAGCCCAGCACCAGCCAAUGAGUGGUGCCUAUUGCAGCUGGAAGAAUAAGGAUAAAAGGAACCAGCUGUCUAAUCUCCUAGCCUGCAGACCAGCCCAUCAUCUGGUAGAAAGCCAGCCCUGCUGGGGCUGGGCAGGGAUGUGGGAAAGAUGUUUCACAGAACUGAAAGCUGCUGUACAAGAGCAGCGCAGCCUUCCAGGAUUCUGUCCUCAGGAAGAGUGCUGCUCUCCGGGGUGGGGUGCCCACGCGGUGUGCCCAGGUGUGCAGCGCUCUGCACGCGCAGCCGAUGUGCUUCCUGCUGAGACCCGCGCCACUCGCAGCCCAGUCAGGGGGAAAGGAAGGCUUCUUUUCCUGCAGGCAGCAUUAUUAAGUGUGCAGAGCUUCACCCAAGGGACAAGGGCCUGUGAUGCUCUGGCUCUGCAGAGGAGAGUGGAUGCGCGCCUGGCUGUCCUAGUUGCCUGUGGCAUUGGACUUUUUGAUAGUAAAACAGAUGCAAAGUAA
ensembl:lncRNA